rnacentral:rRNA from 1 species
UGGGGAAUAUUGCACAAUGGGCGCAAGCCUGAUGCAGCAACGCCGCGUGAGGGACGACGGCCUUCGGGUUGUAAACCUCUUUUGGCAGGGAAGAAGCGAAAGUGACGGUACCUGCAGAAAAAGCACCGGCUAACUACGUGCCAGCAGCCGCGGUGAUCCGUAGGGUGCAAGGGUUGUCCGGAAUUAUUGGGCGUAAAGCGCUCGUAGGCGGUUUGUCGCGUCUGCUGUGAAAACCCGAGGCUCAACCUCGGGCCUGCAGUGGGUACGGGCAAAAUAGAGUGCGGUAGGGGAGAUUGGAAGUCCUGGUGUAGCGGUGGAAUGCGCAGAUAACAGGAGGAACACCGAUGGCGAAGGCAGAUCUCUGGGCCGUAACUGACGCUGAGGAGCGAAAGCAUGGGGAGCGAACA